UCAUCGGCUCCUUUAACGUAGGAGCCACCCACAGAAACAGACUGGUUACUU
rfam:Plasmodium knowlesi strain H chromosome 12, complete genome